CAACUACUCCCUCUGUCCCAAAAUUCUUGUCUUAGAUUUGUCUAGAUACGGAUGUAUCUAAUACUAAAAUGUGACUUGAUACAUCCAUAUCUAGACAAAUCUAAGACAAGAAUUUUGGGACGGAGGGAGUACUUU
rnacentral:pre_miRNA from 1 species